CGAUAACGAACGAGACCUUAGCCUGCUAAAUAGGAUCGGGAACCUCGGUUCUCGCAUCACUUCUUAGAGGGACUUUGCGUGUCUAACGCAAGGAAGUUUGAGGCAAUAACAGGUCUGUGAUGCCCUUAGAUGUUCUGGGCUGCACGCGCGCUACACUGAUGCAUGCAACGAGUUUUUGACCUUGGCCGGAAGGUCUAGGUAAUCUUUUGAGUAUGCAUCGUGAUGGGGAUAGAUUAUUGCAAUUAUUAAUCUUCAACGAGGAAUGCCUAGUAGGCGCAAGUCAGCAGCUUGUGCCGAUUACGUCCCUGCCCUUUGUACACACCGCCCGUCGCUGCAACCGAUCGAAGGGUCCUGUGAACUCGAUGGACAGCCCAUCCCCUUCUUGGGGUUGGGCUGGAAGUUGCGUAAAUAGAGCCCUUUAAAGGAUGCAAAAGUCGUAACACGGUUUCCGUAGGUGAACCUGCGGAAGGAUCAUUC
rnacentral:rRNA from 1 species